rnacentral:rRNA from 1 species
AUGGAGAAUAGUUAGUGGCAGACGGGUGAGUAAUGCAUAGGAAUCUACCUAGUAGUAUGGGAUAGCCACUAGAAAUGGUGGGUAAUACUGUAUAAUCCCUGCGGGGGAAAGAUUUAUCGCUAUUAGAUGAGCCUAUGUUAGAUUAGCUAGUUGGUAGGGUAAAGGCCUACCAAGGCGAUGAUCUAUAGCUGGUCUGAGAGGAUGAUCAGCCACACUGGAACUGAGAUACGGUCCAGACUCCUACGGGAGGCAGCAGUGGGGAAUAUUGGACAAUGGGCGCAAGCCUGAUCCAGCUAUGCCGCGUGAGUGAGGAAGGCCUUAGGGUUGUAAAACUCUUUCAGUAGGGAAGAUAAUGACGGUACCUACAGAAGAAGUCCCGGCAAACUCCGUGCCAGCAGCCGCGGUAAUACGGAGGGGGCAAGCGUUGUUCGGAAUUAUUGGGCGUAAAGGGCAUGUAGGCGGUUCGGUAAGUUAAAGGUGAAAUGCCAGGGCUUAAC